rnacentral:lncRNA from 1 species
AUGAAGCGCUUGGAGGAGGCAUGUCAGUUCCCGUGCAUUCCUGCUGAAAGCAGAGCUGGGACUGUGAGACUACGCCAACCUUUCCCUUGUGUAAUGUCAAUGUCGGCUAUCACUUUGGCAGAAUCACCCAGCUCAGUGAAGACAGAAAACCCCUCCUUUCCUCCUGUUUUUUCAUCUGCUGGUGGCAUUCCAAGUGACCUUCCCUCAUAAAUAUUGGCACAUUCUGAACAUAAAGGACUUCAAGAGAUAUGAGCCCUAAGAACAGUUUGUCUUCAUUUGAAUUACAAUGCCAAGACCAAAGCUUUCCCUGAAACUUGAAUGAAUUGCUGCAGGCCUCCAGAAAGGUAAAUUAUGAGAACACUGUGUAGUGGCUCUCCUGUGCUGGUGCAGGAAAACUUAAAAUCAGACUCUGCCUAGUCUUCUAAGACCUGGGUUCCUCUCUGCUCUAAAGUGGGAAGUGCAAGAGCUUCAUGCUUUCUUUCUUCUCUAAGCACUGCAACAACAUCAAGGUUUGGGCAAAUCAUUCCAAAUUUACAGCCUCCUCU